rnacentral:rRNA from 1 species
GUCCACGCCCUAAACGAUGUCAACUAGCCGUUGGGUUCAUAAAAGAGCUUAGUGGCGCAGCUAACGCGAUAAGUUGACCGCCUGGGGAGUACGGCCGCAAGGUUAAACUCAAAGGAAUUGACGGGGCCCGCACAAGCGGUGGAGCAUGUGGUUUAAUUCGAUGCAACGCGAAGAACCUUACCAGGUCUUGACAUCCACGGAACUUUCCAGAGAUGGAUUGGUGCCUUCGGGAACCGUGAGACAGGUGCUGCAUGGCUGUCGU